GACGAACGCUGGCGGCGUGCCUAACACAUGCAAGUCGAGCGAUGAAGUUUCCUUCGGGAAAUGGAUUAGCGGCGGACGGGUGAGUAACACGUGGGUAACCUGCCUCAUAGAGGGGAAUAGCCUCCCGAAAGGGAGAUUAAUACCGCAUAAUACUAUAGUUUCGCAUGAGACAGUAAUUAAGGGAGCAAUCCGCUAUGAGAUGGACCCGCGGCGCAUUAGCUAGUUGGUGAGGUAACGGCUCACCAAGGCGACGAUGCGUAGCCGACCUGAGAGGGUGAUCGGCCACAUUGGGACUGAUACACGGCCCAGACUCCUACGGGAGGCAGCAGUGGGGAAUAUUGCACAAUGGGGGAAACCCUGAUGCAGCAACGCCGCGUGAGUGAUGACGGUCUUCGGAUUGUAAAGCUCUGUCUUUGGGGACGAUAAUGACGGUACCCAAGGAGGAAGCCACGGCUAACUACGUACCAGCCGCCGCAGUAAGAC
rnacentral:rRNA from 1 species